AAAGAGUUUGUGAUAUAAACAGUUAUGAUCUCACUUCCUGGUCCCUGGCUUUGCCUUUUCCGCUGAGCUGAUGCUUGGAAUGUACCCGGUGCCUGCAAUGUGACUCUUUUUCUUUUUCCCAAGACAGAGUUUCUCUGUCCUGGAGCCCUCUCUGGAGACCAGGCUGGCCUCCAACUCAGAGAUCCUCCUGCCUCUGCCUCUCGAGUUCUGGGACCGCCAUCUGACUGUGACUCUCUCUGUUCUUGGCAGUCAGAAAGUACUUCAGCGUUGCAGCUCACAGAGGAAAUGAGCUAUGCAGAGGGAACUGGGAAGACCAUCGGGAGGAGACCACUGAAGGGGACCCUAGCCUGACAUUUCAGAAAGUAGAUAUCUGUCCCUCCUGACUGGAAUGCCCUCUCAUGCCAUGGAGCACUCUCUUCAGGUUCACAGGACAUAACAUGGUAUUGGAGUCACCACGGAAACCAAGGGUCAUCACUCUGUUCUCAGCUCACAAGGCUUCUUCUUUUUCUGUCUCUCCAUACUAGUUUUUAAACCAAGGUAUCCAUGGAAACGCACGCCUUCUGGAUACUCUGCUCUCCAAGGUUGACUCUGAAGAAUGGAUGGAAGGAGAGAGAGUUUCUUUCCACUGUUAGAUGCUCCUGCCAGACUGGAGAGGAAAGCCUGUUGACAAACACAACAGUGAUCGAGUUCCCUGAAGCCAGCCAAGAGGCUCACAGAAGAGUUAAACAUUCAAGGAACCAUAACGACCAAAGACAAAGUUUAAAAAAUAGCUUGACAGGCCUGCACACUAGAAGCCGCAAGGAGGUUCUCUCAGGGAUUCUCAGGAGGAAAAUAUGUACUAGGGGGGAAAAUCAACGAGUUAGUAGGAGUCAGAGAGAAGACAGCAGCAACAGCAAAGGAGAAACAACGUGGGAAUAGUUGACACCCAUGAUGCUGUACCAUAGGCUGGAACGAAUGAAACCUUAAGGCUCACAAAGACAUGCAAAUUGAUUUUCCUAAAGUCUAAAGACUGAGAUUGGGGCUGGAGAGAUGGCUCAGGGGUUAAGAGCACUGACUGUUCUUCCAGAGGUCCUGAGUUCAAUUUCCAGCAACCACAUGGUGGCUCACAACCAUCUGCAAUGAGAUCUGGUGCCCCCUUCUGGCCUGCACUGUAUACAUGAUAAAUAAAUAAAUCUUUUUAAAAAAAGACUGAGACUGAUGGAAAUAAUAAAAAAAUAAAACUCUCCUGAUCUAUUUGCUUCAGGAAUAAAAAAUCUUUGGGACACGUGUGGUUCCACACAACCAAACAGAGAGCAAAAACAACAAAUAAUUUCAACUAUUUAUAUGUAGAUUAUUUUUAAAAAAUUGCUCUUGCACAUGAUCAGAAGGGGAAGCAGAAUAAAUCAUUUAAGCUAUUACAUCAUCCUGUCCCCGUUUUGAGUCCCUGUUUGACUCAGAGGUGUUGAGGUUUUCCCUGGUUUGGUGUCCGCACUGUUCUGCUGAUUCUUCCCAACACUGACGCUCAGAGAGCACUCGUGAUGUCUUGCUGAUUGAUGGGAGAAUCAAUGAAAGGCAUUCCUGUCUCAGUCAGCAUUGAUUUUCCUUUGUGGUUGGUCCUUGCAUGGCCUUUUGACAGAGGACUAAUGGUUUACAAUCCUGUCAUCAGGAAUAUAACAAUAUUGCACAUUACCAGGCCUAUAAAUACAGCUUCCCCAAUGACAGAGAUGUGGAUCUCAGGCACCUUGGUAGUCUAUUGUAUUUCACUGUUCUCUUCCUGUGACAGGAAAAUUCAUUAUGACCACAGACACCAUGCUUGUCACAGGACUUACUUUGGCUCGUAGCAUAUGGUGGAAAUGAAGAAUGUUACCACCUUGCAUGAGUUUUGUUCUUUUUGCUUGGAGACCUGGUCCUGCUAGGUACCCUAUGCUGUCUCAGUUCCCAAGUGCUGGGAUUACAGGAGUGUGCCACCAAAUCUGGCUUCUAGCACAAGCUUUAGGAGCUGUCAUGUUUCCCUAAGGUCCGUGAGCCCCACAUAGGGGCUGCUUCUUUGGCCUGGAUACUGGAAAUGGACACAACAUAGAUUAACUCCAAAUUCAGCAAUGCAGAGACUCAUAACUGGCAAGUGUGCUUGGAAUUAGUGGCUACUGAGUGCUCAGCCCCAAACCAGACUUCCUCACAAGAGUGGGGGGUGGGAGAGAACGGAAGAGCCAGGGGAUGGGAAGAGAGCUGUGGAAUCCUGCCUUCUGGACAGGACUCGGCUCUGCCUUCCUGAACUCACUAUAGGUAUGGUUACUUGCACAAGACCAAGUCAACAUUCCAUCAGGGAGCACCAGAGUCCGUGAGUUACAAAACCAAGCAAGGACACGAAUGUGAGAUGGGGGUGGGGGGGCGGGGGUUGAGGGAUGUCUAAGAGGAGUGGGAAGGGAGAUUGGGAGUUGGUGGUGGGUGUGAUCAAGAUACAUUAAAUGUGUGUGUAAAAUUGUCAAAGAAAAAAUAAAAAGUUAUUCUUAAGAAAAUGCAUUAACUUAAAAGAUGCAGCCUGACUGCUUAAAAGUUCCCAAGUUCAUGAGACUUGAACCCUGAAACUGAGCAUUUGAAACAUACGACGUUGAAGUUUGGGGGAGGUGCUGCAGUGUAGGUUUCCGUAAGCUGAUUGCUCAGAAGUCUCUCAAGUGUGUUGACUUACAUUGGUUUUCAUAUGGCCUACAUGGUUCUCUGAAGGACUCUUGAUUUAAGAAGAAGAAAGCUGACAAGUGGGUCAUUGCAGAUUAGCCCUCCUUCCCAUGAGAGUCAAACGGAAGGUGUUUCAGAUAACCACUCUCGAAGGCAGAAUGGCCUUACUUGUGAUGUGUUUAAAUCACACCACUCUGAAAUACUUAGAGCACUAUAAAAGGGUAUGGGCGAGUCAUAGCCCCAGCGCAUAUA
rnacentral:lncRNA from 1 species